GUGCUCGCUUCGGCAGCACAUAUACUAAAAUUGGAACGAUACAGAGAAGAUUAGCAUGGUCCCUGCGCAAGGAUGAUUCCCCCAGAUCACACUGUCUCCAAGCAAUC